rnacentral:rRNA from 3 species
UUAAGCGACUAAGCGUACACGGUGGAUGCCCUGGCAGUCAGAGGCGAUGAAGGACGUGCUAAUCUGCGAUAAGCGUCGGUAAGGUGAUAUGAACCGUUAUAACCGGCGAUUUCCGAAUGGGGAAACCCAGUGUGUUUCGACACACUAUCAUUAACUGAAUCCAUAGGUUAAUGAGGCGAACCGGGGGAACUGAAACAUCUAAGUACCCCGAGGAAAAGAAAUCAACCGAGAUUCCCCCAGUAGCGGCGAGCGAACGGGGAGCAGCCCAGAGCCUGAAUCAGUGUGUGUGUUAGUGGAAGCGUCUGGAAAGGCGCGCGAUACAGGGUGACAGCCCCGUACACAAAAAUGCACAUGCUGUGAGCUCGAUGAGUAGGGCGGGACACGUGGUAUCCUGUCUGAAUAUGGGGGGACCAUCCUCCAAGGCUAAAUACUCCUGACUGACCGAUAGUGAACCAGUACCGUGAGGGAAAGGCGAAAAGAACCCCGGCGAGGGGAGUGAAAAAGAACCUGAAACCGUGUACGUACAAGCAGUGGGAGCACGCUUAGGCGUGUGACUGCGUACCUUUUGUAUAAUGGGUCAGCGACUUAUAUUCUGUAGCAAGGUUAACCGAAUAGGGGAGCCGAAGGGAAACCGAGUCUUAACUGGGCGUUAAGUUGCAGGGUAUAGACCCGAAACCCGGUGAUCUAGCCAUGGGCAGGUUGAAGGUUGGGUAACACUAACUGGAGGACCGAACCGACUAAUGUUGAAAAAUUAGCGGAUGACUUGUGGCUGGGGGUGAAAGGCCAAUCAAACCGGGAGAUAGCUGGUUCUCCCCGAAAGCUAUUUAGGUAGCGCCUCGUGAAUUCAUCUCCGGGGGUAGAGCACUGUUUCGGCAAGGGGGUCAUCCCGACUUACCAACCCGAUGCAAACUGCGAAUACCGGAGAAUGUUAUCACGGGAGACACACGGCGGGUGCUAACGUCCGUCGUGAAGAGGGAAACAACCCAGACCGCCAGCUAAGGUCCCAAAGUCAUGGUUAAGUGGGAAACGAUGUGGGAAGGCCCAGACAGCCAGGAUGUUGGCUUAGAAGCAGCCAUCAUUUAAAGAAAGCGUAAUAGCUCACUGGUCGAGUCGGCCUGCGCGGAAGAUGUAACGGGGCUAAACCAUGCACCGAAGCUGCGGCAGCGACGCUGAUGCGUUGUUGGGUAGGGGAGCGUUCUGUAAGCCUGCGAAGGUGUGCUGUGAGGCAUGCUGGAGGUAUCAGAAGUGCGAAUGCUGACAUAAGUAACGAUAAAGCGGGUGAAAAGCCCGCUCGCCGGAAGACCAAGGGUUCCUGUCCAACGUUAAUCGGGGCAGGGUGAGUCGACCCCUAAGGCGAGGCCGAAAGGCGUAGUCGAUGGGAAACAGGUUAAUAUUCCUGUACUUGGUGUUACUGCGAAGGGGGGACGGAGAAGGCUAUGUUGGCCGGGCGACGGUUGUCCCGGUUUAAGCGUGUAGGCUGGUUUUCCAGGCAAAUCCGGAAAAUCAAGGCUGAGGCGUGAUGACGAGGCACUACGGUGCUGAAGCAACAAAUGCCCUGCUUCCAGGAAAAGCCUCUAAGCAUCAGGUAACAUCAAAUCGUACCCCAAACCGACACAGGUGGUCAGGUAGAGAAUACCAAGGCGCUUGAGAGAACUCGGGUGAAGGAACUAGGCAAAAUGGUGCCGUAACUUCGGGAGAAGGCACGCUGAUAUGUAGGUGAAGUCCCUCGCGGAUGGAGCUGAAAUCAGUCGAAGAUACCAGCUGGCUGCAACUGUUUAUUAAAAACACAGCACUGUGCAAACACGAAAGUGGACGUAUACGGUGUGACGCCUGCCCGGUGCCGGAAGGUUAAUUGAUGGGGUCAGCGCAAGCGAAGCUCUUGAUCGAAGCCCCGGUAAACGGCGGCCGUAACUAUAACGGUCCUAAGGUAGCGAAAUUCCUUGUCGGGUAAGUUCCGACCUGCACGAAUGGCGUAAUGAUGGCCAGGCUGUCUCCACCCGAGACUCAGUGAAAUUGAACUCGCUGUGAAGAUGCAGUGUACCCGCGGCAAGACGGAAAGACCCCGUGAACCUUUACUAUAGCUUGACACUGAACAUUGAGCCUUGAUGUGUAGGAUAGGUGGGAGGCUUUGAAGUGUGGACGCCAGUCUGCAUGGAGCCGACCUUGAAAUACCACCCUUUAAUGUUUGAUGUUCUAACGUUGACCCGUGAUCCGGGUUGCGGACAGUGUCUGGUGGGUAGUUUGACUGGGGCGGUCUCCUCCUAAAGAGUAACGGAGGAGCACGAAGGUUGGCUAAUCCUGGUCGGACAUCAGGAGGUUAGUGCAAUGGCAUAAGCCAGCUUGACUGCGAGCGUGACGGCGCGAGCAGGUGCGAAAGCAGGUCAUAGUGAUCCGGUGGUUCUGAAUGGAAGGGCCAUCGCUCAACGGAUAAAAGGUACUCCGGGGAUAACAGGCUGAUACCGCCCAAGAGUUCAUAUCGACGGCGGUGUUUGGCACCUCGAUGUCGGCUCAUCACAUCCUGGGGCUGAAGUAGGUCCCAAGGGUAUGGCUGUUCGCCAUUUAAAGUGGUACGCGAGCUGGGUUUAGAACGUCGUGAGACAGUUCGGUCCCUAUCUGCCGUGGGCGCUGGAGAACUGAGGGGGGCUGCUCCUAGUACGAGAGGACCGGAGUGGACGCAUCACUGGUGUUCGGGUUGUCAUGCCAAUGGCACUGCCCGGUAGCUAAAUGCGGAAGAGAUAAGUGCUGAAAGCAUCUAAGCACGAAACUUGCCCCGAGAUGAGUUCUCCCUGACUCCUUGAGAGUCCUGAAGGAACGUUGAAGACGACGACGUUGAUAGGCCGGGUGUGUAAGCGCAGCGAUGCGUUGAGCUAACCGGUACUAAUGAACCGUGAGGCUUAACCUU